rnacentral:lncRNA from 1 species
AUAGUUCCAAACCAGUUUGAGCUACAAAGUGAAACCUUGUCUCAAAAACCAAACAAGAGCUGUUUCGGUGGAGUGCUUAUUGGGUAUCAUAAGGACUGGGAGUUUGGUUUGGCUAUCAUCACUCCAGGAAAGAGAACAGAUCUUCAACCCCAGCUCCAGCUGAGACCUGAGGGCUUGCUGGCUUGCAGCUUAGCUAACAAAAGGCAAAAGGGGAGCCGCAGAUUCAGGGAGAAACUCAAUCUUAAAGGAGUAGAUGACAUUGUAGAGGAGAUCACCCAAAGGCCCCUCUGGCCUCUGCUUAAGAGAGAGAGGUGCUUACCAUCACACACUUAUGCCCAUACAUUCCACACAAGUAUAUGCAUAACUCUAAAAUAAAUCUAUUUUUUAAAAAGUUGGGCAUGGUGUCAUAAGCCUAAAAUUGUGGUAGCACUUAGAUAGUUGAGACCAGAGUCAAUCAAACAAAAAACCAAAUACCUUCUUCUAAUGGCGUGGCCAGGUGAGCAGUUUCUUUACUGUACCUCUGGCAUACAGGAAAGGGGAAAGGCAAUUUCAAUAGUUAUGUGUGUUAUGUGAGGGGCAAAAAUAAUAGGGAUCAUACUGUGGGACUAGGGCAAAUAAACCCAAAUCCUUCUUCUGGCCUGUUUUUCUGUUAAGUCAAAGGCAUCACUUGAUUCCAAUGCUUCCCAGAUGUAAGCUUUCUUCUUCUUUUUAAUUAUUCACUUUAUGUAUAUGAGUACACUGUAGCUGUCUUUGGACACACCAGAAGAGGGCAUUGAAUCCGACUACAGAUGGUUGUGAGCCACUGUGUGGUUGCUGGGAGUUGAACUCAGGACCGCUGGAAGAGCAGUCAAUGCUUUAUAAACCACCGAGCUAUC